GCUAAUGGAAGUCAAAUAACAACCCGCAGAACAGACACCAGUGUGUCCUUGCAACACUUGCAGUUUACAGGUGUUUUUCUGCCUCCCUCUGUGUGUGUGUGUGUGUGCGUGCAAGGUAGAAUUAGAGUCUCAAGUGAAAUAGCAUCUUACUUUGAUAAGGUGAUAAUGAAAAUAAUAACAUCCCUGACAAAAUAUUCAUAAAGCUAAUGCUGAAUGGCACGUUUCUCUGAAAAACUCAUCAGAGGUGUCUUGGUUAAAAGAAAACAGUGUCCAGCGUCUUCCACACCCUCAAAUUAUCUGCCGCUUUCACAUUUCACUGAUAGCAUAGAUGAGAGCUGAGGAAAAUGGACACACAAUUAUGCUCACUUGUCGUAUAUUAAUACUGCUUCUUGACAUCUUCCAUGGACCCUGAGCUGUCAUCUCUUUGUCUGCUUUAAUUGAAAAUUAAUGGUUAGUGCGUUACUAAGGCAACAGUGGCAGUGGUGGUGGGUAGGGAGCUGCACUCAGACAGACACCAGUGGCAUUGUUUGUCCUGUCUGACCUUGGAAGUCAGAAAAAAACCGGAGAAGAAAGGAAGAGGAGGGAAAAAGCACAUUAAAGGGAGAAUGGAGAGGUAAGGGUUGAAUGUUGUCCAUUGGAGUGAGUGGAGCAAAAUGAAAUAAAGUUAUUGUUGCGGUGUUUUGGUCAGGUAAGAGAAAACUGCGGCAGGGGGGACUUAAGAUAUAAUGUCAAAAUGCCAAAUGGAGAGAAUUAUAUUUGAGUAAGAAGGCAGAAAAGGGCCCGGCGAUUCUUCUCUCAAGUGACAGGAUUACCUUUGUGCUGAUGGAGUCAGGGGGCACUUUAUGGCCCUGUAAUCAUCUGGACACAGCGUGGCCACAGUGCCAAAUGGACACUGACUUCAAGGCCACACAUCUCAAGAUUGCUACAGAAGCUUAUGGACAUCAAGCAAUUGACUCCAGAGGCAAGUAUACCGGCCGAGAGGAGGACGGACGCCAGAGGUGUCAACAACAACCAUGGGAAGCUUAGAUAAAAGUUUCCCGAGAAGAGAAGAAGUAAAAGAGAAUGCUCGUCUCAAAGGCAUUUAGAAACUCAACAAUUAAAAGCAC